GUCGAGGGGUAACAGGAGUAGCUUGCUAUUUGCUGACGACCGGCGCACGGGUGCGUAACGCGUAUAGAAUCUACCUUAUACUGGGGGAUAGCCUUUGGAAACGAAGAUUAAUACCCCAUAGUAUUAUUUUUUGGCAUCAUUAAAUAAUUAAAGUUUCGGCGGUAUAAGAUGACUAUGCGUUCUAUUAGUUAGUUGGUAAGGUAACGGCUUACCAAGACUUCGAUAGAUAGGGGUCCUGAGAGGGAGAUCCCCCACACUGGUACUGAGACACGGACCAGACUCCUACGGGAGGCAGCAGUGAGGAAUAUUGGACAAUGGAGGCAACUCUGAUCCAGCCAUGCCGCGUGUAGGAAGACUGCCCUAUGGGUUGUAAACUACUUUUAUAUGGGAAGAAUAAGAUCUACGUGUAGAUNGAUGACGGUACCAUAAGAAUAAGCACCGGCUAACUCCGUGCCAGCAGCCGCGGUAAUACGGAGGGUGCAAGCGUUAUCCGGAAUCAUUGGGUUUAAAGGGUCCGUAGGCGGGCAUAUAAGUCAGUGGUGAAAGUCUGUGGCUNAACCAUAGAAUUGCCAUUGAUACUGUAUGUCUUGAAUUAUUGUGAAGUGGUUAGAAUAUGUAGUGUAGCGGUGAAAUGCUUAGAGAUUACAUAGAAUACCGAUUGCGAAGGCAGAUCACUAACAAUAUAUUGACGCUGAUGGACGAAAGCGUAGGUAGCGAACAGGAUUAGAUACCCUGGUAGUCUACGCCGUAAACGAUGGAUACUAGUUGUUUGGUUUUCGGACUGAGUGACUAAGCGAAAGUGAUAAGUAUCCCACCUGGGGAGUACGUUCGCAAGAAUGAAACUCAAAGGAAUUGACGGGGGCCCGCACAAGCGGUGGAGCAUGUGGUUUAAUUCGAUGAUACGCGAGGAACCUUACCAGGGCUUAAAUGUAGUCUGACAGCUUUAGAGAUAGAGUUUUCUUCGGACAGAUUACAAGGUGCUGCAUGGUUGUCGUCAGCUCGUGCCGUGAGGUGUCAGGUUAAGUCCUAUAACGAGCGCAACCCCUGUGGUUAGUUGCCAGCGAGUAAUGUCGGGAACUCUAGCCAGACUGCCGGUGCAAACCGUGAGGAAGGUGGGGAUGACGUCAAAUCAUCACGGCCCUUACGUCCUGGGCCACACACGUGCUACAAUGGUAGGGACAGAGAGCAGCCACUUAGCGAUAAGGAGCGAAUCUAUAAACCCUAUCUCAGUUCGGAUUGGAGUCUGCAACUCGACUCCAUGAAGCUGGAAUCGCUAGUAAUCGGAUAUCAGCCAUGAUCCGGUGAAUACGUUCCCGGGCCUUGUACACACCGCCCGUCAAGCCAUGGAAGCUGGGGGUACCUGAAGUCCGUCACCGUAA
rnacentral:rRNA from 1 species